AUAGCGAAAACGUCCGCACUGUGAAAAUAAGUGUAUAAAUAAGAUUACUAUAACUAAUGUAAGUCAAAAUAGUGUUUAAAUCACAAUUUGUACAUAAAAGCACAAAAACAAAAUUAAGUAUUGAUGAAAAGUGAGUAAGAGGCGAAAAUUCGCAUCAAUUUUCAAAAAUCUGAAGGAAGCAAAGUCUUAAAUUAACAAAUUUCAGACAAAAUUAAGGCAAAGGAUUCAAAUAUCAGCAAUAUUAUUCAAAAUAUCGGCAGUAGAUGAGUAAUUAGCAAAGUCAUUGCUUCAUUAUAAAUACUAAUUGUAAAGAAUAAAUAAAAGAACAAAUACGAACAAGGAUAAAACAUUGAAAAGGAAACAAAGAAUUUUUUUUAGUGUUUUCUUCCUAUCUGCAAAGUUAAUGAACACUAUAACAACUAAUAGGAUUUAAAUAAGGAAAUAAAGGACGAAGAAACAAAAAAAAAAAACAAAGCACUAUUAAAAGGAAAUACAAAAAUAAUAACGUGAAUAUACAAAUUUGUUUUUUCUUUUCCGAAAAUUUUAGUAACACAAACGAAUAAUUUAUCAAAAAGAACACAAACUCGCAAACAAAACUAUUGGAAGACAUCAAGAAUUUUUGGAGUAAAAUAUAAGAAAAGAAAAAAUAUUAAAGUUGUGAAUAAUAACAAUUUACCAAAAUUGGUUCCAAACUAUUACAUAAAGCUUAAGAAAAUAUAAAGGAUAUUUUGUGAAUUGUGCAACUUGCGAAGUUUUACGUCUUCAAAAAAUUUGGGAUUGGAUAAUUAUAACGAAUCAAAAUGUACGGAUUUGUUAAUUACGCUUUGGAAUUACUGGUGCUAAAACAUUUUGGUACAGAAAUAUGGGAGAAAAUAAAGUAAGU